ensembl:processed_transcript
AUUUCAGCCGCCGAUUUAGCGCGCCCGCUCUUCAACUUGUGAUGCUUAGUGCAAACCUUUGGCACCUGCUAACUCCACUUCUCUUUUCGAGGGUGAUCCAAAUCUGUGUGGACCAGCCCGGACAAUUCAAAACUAUAACUCAGCAAUUGACCGCAUCCAAGCAGAAGGAGCACAAGACGUGGAAGGAGUAAAAUUCAGAAUGGAUGACGUAGAGCCAAGCAACAUAAGCAGUGCCAUUACUAAUGUGUUACCAGACCUACCAACCUCAAAUCUAAAUAUUGUAUUGGAGACAUUACAAUCUUUAGGUGUGGGAGCCACUGAAGAUUUACAGUAUAUUAAGGAAGCUGAUCUGCUCACAGUACUGAGACCAGUUCAAGCUAGAAAACUGUUGGCUGCAUGGAAACAAUCCACAGAGACAACUGAAUUCCAUAGUCAGUCAACAUUGACCUCUCCAGUGUCCUCAGCGUGCUCCUCAGUCUCACUGUCUUCCUCACCCUCACCCUCACCAUCACCCAGACACAUGAUUGCUACUGCAGAUUGGGUCGACAGCUUCCAGAUUCCAUGGGAGAAGCUCCCAGAAGCCUUAAUGCAGAGUUUGGAGAGAGGGAAAAGGCCAAGCUCAAAGUUACGCAGAGAACUGAUCCGAAUUGUAGUUGCUGAAAUGAUGCAUGCCUCUUCUUCUCCUGGUAAACAAUCCUCCACAGAGGUUGCGAAGAAAAUGGUAGCAAAGUAUCCACUGUCACUGCAAGAUGUUAUAGAAGGUGAUGUGGUAGGAACAGGAUAUCACUCACUCGUCAAGCAGCUGCAAGCACGAAUUGAAAAUGUAAAGCGCGGUCUUCAGUACCAAGAAUAUUGAAGCGCAGACGGGGGUCAGAUGAAUUUGACACAGAUGAAAUCACAGCUGAACAGAGGGCAGCUGUUCAGGACACAUAUGGCUGCAUAAAGUGGGAAAUGAAGUUUAUGCCAGUGAGUGAGAC